rnacentral:rRNA from 1 species
CCAGACUCCUACGGGAGGCAGCAGUGGGGAAUAUUGCACAAUGGGGGAAACCCUGAUGCAGCGACGCCGCGUGAGUGAAGAAGUAUCUCGGUACGUAAAGCUCUAUCAGCAGGGAAGAAAAUGACGGUACCUGACUAAGAAGCCCCGGCUAACUACGUGCCAGCAGCCGCGGUAAUACGUAGGGGGCAAGCGUUAUCCGGAUUUACUGGGUGUAAAGGGAGCGUAGACGGCAGCACAAGUCUGGAGUGAAAUCCCGCGGCUCAACCGCGGAACUGCAUUUGAAACUGUUUUUCUUGAGUACCGGAGAGGUCAUCGGAAUUCCUUGUGUAGCGGUGAAAUGCGUAGAUAUAAGGAAGAACACCAGUGGCGAAGGCGGAUGACUGGACGGCAACUGACGGUGAGGCGCGAAAGCGUGGGUAGCGAACGGGAUUAGAUACCCCUGUA